rnacentral:lncRNA from 1 species
UACAAGUUAUUGGGGAACUUUGGAAGAAUGGUAACCUCACGACUGGUGAAAAACUCAGUUUUUUGAGCGAAUAUAGUAAUCAUAUAGCAGAGUCUGAAACUGAGCUGAUCAUAAAUGACACAAAUCAGUUUAUAAAUGACAUUGAAAGUGAAAGUGAGUACUCACAUUAGGAGACUAGGCGGACAAUAGUCAGCCAAUUAUUUGUUGGACUUGAUUUAUUUGCUCUCAAUA